CGCUGCUGACUUUCCAGACACGCUCUGCGUAUUGACACAGCACGCGACACGCUGAGAGGGCUUUUAAUUUGAAACGAGACACAAAAGAAGAAUGGCCGGAGGGAGAGACAAGUUUUGGUAAAAACCUAGGACAGCUGGCAACUUCUGCUGCCUCUUGCGGAGCUCCGUCUCCAGAUCUGAGGGCCGCCGUUGUGCCAUCUCCUCCUCCUUGUGCAGCUCCAGUCUGCGCUGCUCCAGCACUCGCUUCAGCUCCGGUUUCUCCUCCAGCAGCAGGCCCCUGUACGAGAGGUGGAGCUGGGGGAUCACCUGACGGGUGUUUGUCCUGAUGCAAGCCAUUGUUCCAGUCAGGGCCUGCAGCGCUGGGAUGGAUUCCAGGAAAAUCACUCCACCUAAUCUCACAACUUCUCCUUCUCUCUAGAUCAGAUGCUCUGAAUUGUAUUAUCACUACUUGACUCUAAUUUUGCCUUCAGAAACACCAACAAGAUGCUCAGGAGUUUAAGAUAUACACACUUAAUAAAUCUUGUGUUUGAUAGCUUUCAAUAUAGAUUCAAAUAAAACUUUGAUGACAGCACACACUACACU